UAAAAGGGCUUCUGCUAUGUUUAGCACAGGGAAGGUAGGGAUUCACCACUUUUCCUGCGGAAUCUACAUCAAGAGAUUUCGGAAGCAUAAUUUUUAACUUCUGGGGUUGCGAAUGAACGUGAAUCUUUGCGCCCAA
rnacentral:snRNA from 13 species